rnacentral:rRNA from 1 species
UACGUAGGGUCCGAGCGUUGUUCGGAUUCAUUGGGCGUAAAGGGUGCGUAGGUGGCGCUGUAAGUCGGGUGUGAAAUCCUGAGGCUUAACCUCGGAACUGCAUUCGAUACUGCGGUGCUUGAGGACUGGAGAGGAGACUGGAAUUCAUGGUGUAGCAGUGAAAUGCGUAGAGAUCAUGAGGAAGACCAGUGGCGAAGGCGGGUCUCUGGACAGUUCCUGACAUUGAGGCACGAAGGCCAGGGGAGCAAACGGG